CCUACGGGGGGCAGCAGUGAGGAAUAUUGGUCAAUGGACGAGAGCCUGAACCAGCCACGUAGCGUGAAGGAUGACUGCCCUCUGGGUUGUAAACUUCAUUUAUAAAGGAAUAAAGUGAGGCACGUGUGCCUUUUUGUAUGUACUUUAUGAAUAAGGAUCGGCUAACUCCGUGCCAGCGGCCGCGGUAAUACGGAGGAUCCGAGCGUUAUCCGGAUUUAUUGGGGUUAAAGGGAGCGUAGAUGGGUUGUUAAGUCAGUUGUGAAAGUUUGCGGCUCAACCGUAAAAUUGCAAUUGAUACUGGCAGCCUUGAGUACAGUUGAGGUAGGCGGAAUUCGUGGUGUAGCGGUGAAAUGCUUAGAUAUCACGAAGAACUCCGAUUGCGAAGGCAGCUUACUAAACUGCCACUGACAUUGAUGCUCGAAAGUGUGGGUAUCAAACAGGAUUAGAUACCCGUGUAGUC
rnacentral:rRNA from 1 species